rnacentral:rRNA from 1 species
GUAGGGUGCGAGCGUUAAUCGGAAUUACUGGGCGUAAAGCGUGCGCAGGCGGUUUUGUAAGACAGAUGUGAAAUCCCCGGGCUCAACCUGGGACCUGCAUUUGUGACUGCAAGGCUAGAGUACGGUAGAGGGGGAUGGAAUUCCGCGUGUAGCAGUGAAAUGCGUAGAUAUGCGGAGGAACACCGAUGGCGAAGGCAAUCCCCUGGACCUGUACUGACGCUCAUGCACGAAAGCGUGGGGAGCAAACAGGAUUAGAUACCCUGGUAGUCCACGCCCUAAACGAUGUCAACUGGUUGUUGGGUCUUCACUGACUCAGUAACGAASUAACGCGUGAAGUUGACCGCCUGGGGUG